UACGUAGGGCGCAAGCGUUUAUCCGGAAUUAUUGGGCGUAAAGAGCUCGUAGGCGGUUUGUCGCGUCUGCCGUGAAAGUCCGGGGCUCAACUCCGGAUCUGCGGUGGGUACGGGCAGACUAGAGUGAUGUAGGGGAGACUGGAAUUCCUGGUGUAGCGGUGAAAUUCGCAGAUAUCAGGAGGAACACCGGUGGCGAAGGCGGGUCUCUGGGCCACUACUGACGCUGAGAAGCGAAAGCAUGGGGAGCGAACAGG
rnacentral:rRNA from 1 species